rnacentral:rRNA from 1 species
CGGACGGGUGAGUAAUGUCUGGGAAACUGCCCGAUGGAGGGGGAUAACUACUGGAAACGGUAGCUAAUACCGCAUAACGUCGCAAGACCAAAGAGGGGGACCUUCGGGCCUCUUGCCAUCGGAUGUGCCCAGAUGGGAUUAGCUAGUAGGUGGGGUAACGGCUCACCUAGGCGACGAUCCCUAGCUGGUCUGAGAGGAUGACCAGCCACGCUGGAACUGAGACACGGUCCAG